UGAUGAAAACUGCCUAUGCAAUAUAAUGUGUAAACUAGGCCAAUACAGAAUAACUCGGCAAUACAGAUUUUUUUCUGUAUUGGCCGAGUUAUUCUAUAUUGGCCGAGUUGACACAAGUGCAGGAAUUCGGAACGUCUCUAGAUUUUACAUCGAAAGUCACGAUAAACACAAACUGAAAGUAAACAGUUGUUUUGAAGACGCAGUUGUCAUUUAGUGAUCUUAAACAUGCUGAAAAUGUCAGAAUGGCAUACAUUUCAGGCUAAAGACGGUUACAUUCAUUUAAAAGGUAUUUUGAAAGCAGACGAUAGAACUAUUUCAGGUUUGGGGAACGAGUAGAUUAUCACGAAAGUUCAUUUCUUGACGACCUCAUAAUUUCACGAUUGUACACAUCGAUUUUAAAUUAGUUUCCGCAUAACACAUGCAAUGGCAGUACCUUUCCAAUUACUAUUUAUGUGUUGCGUCUAAAUUUAAGUUGUAACACUUUAUAGUGACUGAAAAGGGUAGAAAAAUUCAUCAGAUGAAAAAAUGCUGAAGACACCUGGAAACAGCACCAGAUGGUCCAGAUCAUUAUGUAUUGCAUCUAAUACAAAG
rnacentral:lncRNA from 1 species